AUUGAACGCUGGCGGCAGGCCUAACACAUGCAAGUCGAACGCGUGGCGGACGGGUGAGUAUUGUCUGGGAAACUCCCCGCUGUAGGGGGGUAACAACUGGAAACGGUAGCUAAUACCGCAUACCAUCGGAUGUGCGCAGAUGGGAUUAGCGAGUAGGUGGGGUAACGGCUCACCUAGGCGACGAUCCCUAGCUGGUCUGAGAGGAUGACCAGCCACACUGGAACUGAGACACGGUCCAGACUCCUACGGGAGGCAGCAGUGGGGAAUAUUGCACAAUGGGCGCAAGCCUGAUGCAGCCAUGCCGCGUGUAUGAAGAAGGCCUUCGGGUUGUAAAGUACUUUCAGCGAGGAGGCGUUACUCGCAGAAGAAGCACCGGCUAACUCCGUGCCAGCAGCCGCGGUAAUAC
rnacentral:rRNA from 1 species